UCUGCUCUAAGCUGUUCUCCUUUUCACCAGGUACCUCUGCGGCAGAUGGGGUAACAAUGGCUUUUGAUGUGAGAAAGAGUCUGUUAUUCCAUUUCAAAGGUGCAGGUAAACAGAUCUUGUACAGGGGACACAGCAGCAAACGCAUAGCGUCUGAACUCGCCCCAGAAAUGGGCAAAUGAUACUCCCCUCGACAGAGGAAAACAACCCAGGCACACAGGUGGCGUGGCACACUCAGAAUCUUAACAGCAACUUGGAAAAUCACGACACCUGAGAAACCGCCUCAGGAGACACACCCGUUGGCUACAGGUCCAUUGAAGGACAAGCUUUCAGAGAGACCACAAAAGUACGAAAAGCAGGAAAACCCAGGAAGAAACGGAGGGAGGUUAUUACAACCAAGACCUUUUCACCUCAAGGUAAGGAGACAAAAAGACACUGUUUAAAUCUUAGCAAACACUUAAAGUACUUUAUUUCCUUGGUAGUUUUUGCCAACUUAACUCCCCUACAGAGAUUGCUUCUACGUCCUCUCAAGCCCUCCAAGAGUAGGCUGAAAAAUCUUGCAUAGUGUUUUCUUAAAGGAAACCAGGGUAUUUGAUCCAACAGGCCUGAAACCGCCCCCCCCCACCUCCUUUGCCCACUCGCCAUCACUACCAACAAAGAUGUCAAUUCGGUACCUGAAAUUUUACGCUUUUAAAUCCAAAGAGUAAGUCUGAGUAAAAAUAAUUCAAGAUAUUCGUAUUGAGAUUUUAGGCAGAUGCUGAGACAUUUGGGUCAAAAUAAACCCAAAGCAGAAAAAAAAAAAAAAUCCA
rnacentral:lncRNA from 1 species